rnacentral:misc_RNA from 1 species
UCGAAACCUAAAAAGCACGACCGCGAAUGAGUUUACAAAUGGGGACCGUCAUGAAGCCCUUGGGCUUAUUGUCGCAUUCCCGCUCAAUUGGCGAGUUGCAAUUUGUUGCUCGCCUUUUGAAUCUAACGAACCCCGGCGCGGACAGCGCCAAGGAAUAAAAACGAAAAGAACUUGACCCACUAACCCGUCAUGCGGGCUUAGAGGGCCUUGUUAGUUCAAAAAAUAUCAUAACGACUCUCGGCAACGGAUAUCUCGGCUCUCGCAUCGAUGAAGAACGUAGCAAAAUGCGAUACUUGGUGUGAAUUGCAGAAUCCCGUGAAUCAUCGAGUCUUUGAACGCAAGUUGCGCCCGAAGCCUUUAGGCCGAGGGCACGUCUGCCUGGGCGUCAUGCACUGCGAUGCCCCCCAUUAAGUAUGAGGGGCGAAUCAUGGCCUCCCGUUAGUCCAACUUGCGGAUGGCUUAAAAAAGAGCCUUGAGACGGGAUCACGUCGCGACAAGUGGUGGUUGAAGAGGCCUUUGGCCUUAGAACUUAGCGUGUUGCGACCACUCGCUCUUUUGCUCGAAAAAGACCUUAGUGAAGUGCAUUUAAGUGCCUUCCCAGCAUC